UUCCAACUGGGCAGUUCAGUGGCUUUAAAU
rnacentral:piRNA from 1 species